rnacentral:rRNA from 1 species
UACGGAGGUGGCAAGCGUUACUCGGAAUCAUUGGGUGUAAAGGGCAAGUAGGCGGCCUGUUAAGCGAGGGGUGAAAUCUUCCGACUCAAUCGGAAAACUGCCUUUCGAACUAGCAGGCUUGAGGCAAAUAGAGGGAAAUGGAAUUCCCGGUGUAAGGGUGAAAUCUGUAGAUAUCGGGAAGAACACCAACGGCGAAGGCAAUUUCCUGGAUUUGUCCUGACGCUAAAUUGCGAAAGCUAGGGGAGCAAACAGAAUUAGAUACUCUGGUAGUCCUAGCUGUAAACGAUGAGCACUAGGUGUCGGACCGUAAGGUUCGGUGCCGCAGCUAACGCAUUAAGUGCUCCACCUGGGGACUACGGGCGCAAGGCUAAA